GAUGAAGAACGCAGCGAAAUGUGAUAAGUAAUGUGAAUUGCAGAAUUCAGUGAAUCAUCGAAUCUUUGAACGCACAUUGCGCCCCUUGGUAUUCCAUGGGGCAUGCCUGUUCGAGCGUCAUUUGUACCUUCAAGCUCUGCUUGGUGUUGGGUGUUUGUCUCGCCUCUGCGUGUAGACUCGCCUCAAAACAAUUGGCAGCCGGCGUAUUGAUUUCGGAGCGCAGUACAUCUCGCGCUUUGCACUCAUAACGACGACGUCCAAAAGUACAUUUUUACACUCUUGACCUCGGAUCAGGCAGGGAUACCCGCUGAACUUAAGCAUAUCAAUAAGCGGAGGA
rnacentral:misc_RNA from 1 species